UUCAACAAAGCCAGGCACCAAGUGGCCUCCGUGAACCCCGACAUGUGAUCGAUGGGGUGACGCAAAGCCAUGGAUGGCUGCCACCGCCAGGCACGGUGAGCAGGUGGCCAGGAGAAGACACGGGGACGGCUGACAGCCAGGCGCUCACUCUGACGGGAAAGGUGACACAGACCAUCCACCUCUGUUCGCAUUACCUACCAUGAUGGCAUGCUGUCGACUUCAUCCGUUGAACAAGGCAGGAGCGGGAGGAGGGUGGAUGGCUAUCUGGGAAGAGAAAUCCUGACGCGACGAGACGAUUAACUCCGAGUUGCUGUGGAGUUUGCUGUGGAGACCUUCCCUGCCGGGCACCCCGGAGAUGCAAAAACCCAGACAACACCCAACUCAAAAUCGGAAGGAAAAUGACGAUGACGUGUGGUCGGUGAACAGCGGCACCGAGAUUCAGUCCUGGCUCCCGGGACAAGCGCCUGACUUCUGUGACUGUGGUCGCCCAUCUCCAAUGCAGGGGCAAAACUUCCCCUCUGCUAGAGCCGCUUUGCGUGGCUUCUGGCACGGGGCCACUAAACUGUAAGUCCUGAAGCCACAAACGGCACCACAUUUGUCCAAGAAUCCCUCAGAUUUACCACAACACACAGAAAGUCGGGGGCACUGGUCAGCGUGCCAGUGCGGAAAGGUGGUUAGUGCUGCGGACAGCGGGCCGAGGAAGAAACGCAAAACGCCGUUCUUAUUUUUGUCUUGGCAAAGCCACGGACGAUCCUGCAGGGACGAUCCCUCAUUUGCUGUAGACAAACCCAUCCCAUUCUCAGGAGCCGGCCGCCCCCACCAUUGCACAGGCUCCGGGUCACCCAAGCCCAGUUACAGACGGCUCCGUGCAAAAUGGUAUCGGAGAAGCAUGAUCCACACAUGUAUGCACAUAGGGAAGGAUCGUGUGUGUGUGUGUGUGUUUGCACGCGUGUGCACAUGCCUCCAAACUGUCAGUGUUGUCAAAAAGCGACGUCCAGCAGAGCCCCGGUCACAGAUGGGCCCGUCGCCAGCCACAGGGAUCACAUGCCGACCACGGGGGCUGGUCACUGGCUCCGGCCCUGAGCCACAUUCGCUUUGUCAGCCCCUCCUUCCACAAAAAUAAGAUGUAAAUUUUGACUUCUAACUUGAGUGAUAUAAUGACAAACAUAUUAAACAUUAUCAGUGUAAACAUUUUCUUCAAUGUAAACGUUCAUUUCUGAACUUUUGCCCAUGGAAACAAGCGUGUUACAGAAAGCAUAUCAUCAACUGAAAACACAUAAAAACCUUAUGUACUAGAGCUUGAAACUGAACCAGCAAUGCAACUGGAAAGAGUUAAACUUCUGGACACAGACGGGACGCCGCGUAGCCCCGAGCCUCCCAGCUUGCAGCCGCGCUCAGCCCUGUCCACCUCUGCCAGGUUCCCCUCUGCUGCCACCACGCGAGCCCCACGUCCCCAUGGUACUCUCUACCCUGGGACGGCACCCCCAGGCGGAUCCUCCGGGGGGGAGGCCGUCCCCUCCUGUCCCUCU